AUGGUUAAGUUAGAAAGGGCGCACGGUGGAUGCCUUGGCACUAGGAGCCGAUGAAGGACGGGA
rnacentral:rRNA from 1 species